rnacentral:lncRNA from 1 species
AAAUUUCUAAAUCCAAUUUUUUAUUUUAAUUUUGGCCCAAUUAUUAGUUCAAUAUUAACAAUUAAGCCCAACUGCCAAGAUGGCCAAGACUGGCCUUGUAGACUUGUAUUUAAUAUAAUAGUCUUUGUCUCUUUGACCUAAAUCACAUAACCGGCUAGCAAAUCCAGAGAAAUUCAAAAAGUGAAAACCUUCAACUACAAGCCGCCGACUCAAACUUUUCCUGUUGAACUGCCAUCGAAGCCGCCGACGCCAAAUUUGAACGAGGUAGGUUGUAAGCUUUCCUAAUGAAAUAUGUCUUUGAUUUCCCUAUGGUGGACUAUUGCGCAACAUCUAUUUUUAUUUUAUUUUAGUGGACUGUCAUUUGUCAUUGCUGGUUUGCAGUUGCUAGUCAUAGUUUAAGUAGAAACUGUGGCCAUUGUGUUUUUAUUUUCACUUUCUUUAGCUGCUGUAUUUGGGUAUUUAUGAUUCUAUGAUUUGUUUACACAUAGAUAUCAAGAUGAUCAGUCCAGAGGGCUCAAAUCUUGCACAAAGUUACCUUAUAUAUCUUGAUGAAAUUCUGUUUUCAUUUUAUGUUACCCUGUAUAUCUUGAUAAAAUUAUGUUCCAUAUUGUUUGUGCAGAAUUUAAUCAAGUUGCUAGUUAAAGUGAUACCAAUUUUGAAUGCUCAAAUGGAAGACCAAAAACAGCCUAAAGAAAGAUCAGAAAUAUGGAAUUGUUUCACUAAGAUACUUGGUGGAGAAAGAGCAAAAUGUAGUUAUUGUGGGAGAACAUUUAAGGUUGUUUCUACUUCUGCAACUUCUACCAUGUGGAAGCAUCUAAAAGCUCGUUAUAUUUAUAAGAACACUACAGUUAAUGAAAAACAAGCAAUAUUGACUCGAGAAAACAAUGAUGGUGGUAUUAUGGCUAUGGUGUUUGAUAAAGAAAAGUGUAGAAAAGGAUGAUGAAUUGUCUUUUUCCUUUGUGGAAGAUGCGGGUUUUAAGGAAUUUGUGCAGCAACUUUGUCCUAGAUUUGAGGUUCCUACUCGAAGAACGAUUGCUAGAAAUGUGCUCCAUUUCUACCAUGAAACGAAGGAAUUAUUGAGGAUUAAAUUUAUUAAUGAUAGGCAAAGGAUUUCUUUAACCAUCGAUUGUUGGACAUUAAUUCAAAAUAUCAAUUAUAAGAUAGAAGUUAACAACUACAUAAGAGGAUAUUGAGUUUUUCUGUGGUUUCAAAUCAUAAAGGGGAGACAAUUGAGAAGCUUAUUAAAAAAAUGUUUGCUUGAUUGGGGAAUAGAGUGUGUGGGUACCAUUAUUGUAGACAAUGCAAAAACAAAUGAUGCAACGAUCAUUUAUGUGAAAAGCAAGUUGAAGAAUUGGAAACCUGAUGAUACUAUGAUUUUAUGUGGCUUUUAUCUGCAUGUACAUUGUUCAGCACACAUACUCAAUUUGAUUGUUAAAAAAGGGUUAAAAGAGUUUAAUCUAUCUGUAGAUAGUAUUUGCAAUGCGGUAAAAUAUUUUCGAUCAUCUCCUUCGUGGUUGACAAAAUUUAAAUGUUGUAUUGAAAGGGAAAAGAUUGCAUGCACAAAACUUGCUAUUUUAGAUGUUUCUACUCGAUGGAAUUCAACAUUCUUAAUGUUGGAUAGUGCAUUGAAUUUUGAAAAAGCUUUUGAAAGAAUGGAGGAAGAGGAUGAAUUUUAUUGUAAAUAUUUUGACGAGAAUGAAGGUGGAAAAGAAAAAGAAAGGCUACCUACAAGUUAUUAUUGGAAGAAAGUUAGAAAAUUUGUCAAGUUUUUAAGAACCUUUUAUGAUGUCACAUUGAAGUUUAAUGCUUAAUUGAGUGUUACUUCCAAUAUUUACUUCCAUGAAAUUUGUAAAAUCGAGCGAAUUUUGAAGAAAAGGGGGUGAAAAGCAAGAUUAUUUGCUAAGUAGUAUAGCAAAUAGCAUAAAUAUUAAGUUUGACAAGUAUUGGUGUAAAGUUGAUAAAAUAAACAAGAUUUUGAUUGUAGCAGUCGUGCUUGAUCCCAGGCAUAAGUUGGAGUUUGUUGUACAUUGCAUUGGUAUCUUGUAUGACAGUGUUAAAGUUGAAGCCACAAAGAAUGAGGUCAUGAAAUUUUUGUAUGCUUUGUAUAACUAACGAAAGGGAUGGCAUCGUUCAAACAAUGGACCUAGUGGAAGCAGAAGUGGUGGCAAUGAAUCUAAUGAUGGAGUCACUUUGUUGGAAAAUGAAUGAUGAUGAUGAUUGGGAUGAUUGCAAUUUUUUUUUUGGGUACAAGAAAUUGAAAACUACCAAAAUGGAUUUUUCUAGAAAAUAUGAGGUACAACGAUAUCUAAUGGAAUCCACUGAAGAUGCUAGUAAUGAAAAUUUGAGAAUUUGAAUUGUUGGAAGAUCAAUAAAUCAAGAUUUGGAAUUUUAUCUAAGGUUGUAAGGGAUGUUCUUGCCAUUCCUGUAUCUACAGUUGCUUUUGAGUCAACAUUUAGUAUUGGAGUGCGCAUUCUUGAUCCAUUUAGGAGUUCUUUAACUCCUAAAACAAUUGAGGUCUAGAUUUGUACACAAAAUUGGCUAAGGAAAGAAUUUAGACUUUUGAGAGUUUUCCAAGAUAGAGUUUGCAUUGAAAAGACGAAGUUCUAUGAGGGUAUUAAGACAGGUAAUAAAAUAUAUGUUAUAUUUUUCUUAUUAAAUCUUAUUAGUUGAACAAAUUUGAAUUUAUUUAUGUUUGUUAAUAACUUAAUUGUGCUUUUUCAAUUUUUUCUUGCAGCGUCUCUUAAUAAUGAGUAUGACUUAUAAUGAGUAUGGUAAGUUAAGCAAUUGAUGGAUAAAUCAAACAGUUGGUAAGUAUUAGCAAUACUUGAAAAUAUUUUUUAUUUAUAACUUUUAAUUUAUCAUUCAUUUUUCAUGUAGACUUGAAGGUUUGAAGCAAACGAACCAUUGAAUGGAUCGUUGAAGUUUUAUUAUUAGUAUUUACUCUCUAGUAUUUGUAUGUAUUGGUAAAUUAAUCUUGUUGGACAACUUGUUAUUUGCAUUUACUAAAUUGGACUACGUUAAUUUGUAAAACUACGAUCGAAUGUGCCAUAGUUAUAUUUAUGUAGUGUUGUUAUAAAUGUUAAAAAGUUUAAUUAUAGUACGAAAUCGAACGGAACCAAAC